UAAAGAGGCGUAAAGAAUUUGGCAAGUAACUUGUCUAACUUAGGGAUAACAAUGGUGUUUAUCGGGCGACUGUAUAGCAAAUACACAGGGUUUAGUUAAAGAUGUUUAUAUUUUAGAGCUGAUAUGUGACCAGUAUUUAUAGGACAGGUCGGAUCCAUAAGAAUUAUUGCUUAAAAAUACCGAAAGUACAGGGCCGCUAAAGUCUGCCUCGACAAACGUUGGCCGUAACAAUAACGGUCCCAAGGUAGCAAAUUUCCUUGUCGUUUAAGUAACGACCUGCAUGAAGGAUGGAACGAUUCGAUAGCUGUCUUGCGUACAUGUGCUGGUGAAAUAUUAGGUAGUGUGAAGAUACGGUAACGAUGUUAUGGGACAAAAAGACCCUGUGAAGCUUUAUAGGGAUAGAAUUUAGUACGGGUUCUAUAUUGGUAUAUCUUCAUUUUAUGGAAAAACAGCUUGUUUGUACCAAAUAUAGCUUAAAAUGAGAUACCAUUCAUUCAGAAUACGACCAAAGACCAAUUUCUGUCUUUAAUGUUAGAUGGGCUGUUUAAUUGGGGCGAUGACCUUCUUUAAUCGAACUAAAGGUGAACAAAGCUAUAUCACUUUUCCAGGACUAGUAAGUGCAAAGAUAGAUGUGUGGCUUAAUGGUCAA
rnacentral:rRNA from 1 species